rnacentral:pre_miRNA from 1 species
AAAAAAACAAACCUUAGGACUCCGUGUUCAACGUUUAACCGUCCGUCUUAUUUAAAAAAAUUGUUAAAAAAAUUAAAAAGACAAGUCACGUAUAAAAUAUUAAUCAUGUUUUAUCAUCUAACAACAAUGAAAAUAUUAAUUAUAAAAAUUUUUAUAUAAGACAGAUAGUCAACGUUGGGUAUGGAAACCCAGAGUUUGUUUUUUU